AUAAUACUCCAUAGAUUAGAGACACUGGAAUGUUCUUUAGUCGAAAGUUCUGGCGCCUUAGGAUGGAUCUGCGGUCGAUUAGGUUGUUGUUGGGGUAACGGCCCAACAAGCCUGUAAUCGAUACGGGUUGUGGGAGCAAGAGCCCGGAGAUGGAAUCUGAGACACGAUUCCAGGCCCUACGGGGCGCAGCAGGCGCGAAAACUUUACAAUGCAGGAAACUGUGAUAAGGGAACUCCGAGUGCCCGUAUACGCGGGCUGUCCAGGUGUUUAAAAAUCAUCUGAAGAAAGGGCCGGGCAAGACCGGUGCCAGCCGCCGCGGUAAUACCGGCGGCUCGAGUGGUGGCCACUAUUAUUGGGCUUAAAGCGUCCGUAGCUGGACCGAUAAGUCUCUUGGGAAAUCCGCCGGCUCAACCGGCGGGCGUCUAAGGGAUACUGUUAGUCUAGGGACCGGGAGAGGUGAGAGGUACUCCGGGGGUAGGAGUGAAAUCCUGUAAUCCCCGGGGGACCACCGAUGGCGAAGGCAUCUCACCAGAACGGCUCCGACAGUGAGGGACGAAAGCUGGGGGAGCGAACCGGAUUAGAUACCCGGGUAAUCCCAGCCGUAAACUAUGCGCGUUAGGUGU
rnacentral:rRNA from 1 species